GAUGAACGCUGGCGGCGUGCCUAAUACAUGCAAGUCGAGCGAACAGACGAGGAGCUUGCUCCUCUGACGUUAGCGGCGGACGGGUGAGUAACACGUGGAUAACCUACCUAUAAGACUGGGAUAACUUCGGGAAACCGGAGCUAAUACCGGAUAAUAUAUUGAACCGCAUGGUUCAAUAGUUAAAGACGGUUUUGCUGUCACUUAUAGAUGGAUCCGCGCCGCAUUAGCUAGUUGGUAAGGUAACGGCUUACCAAGGCGACGAUGCGUAGCCGACCUGAGAGGGUGAGCGGCCACACUGGAACUGAGACACGGACCAGACUCCUACGGGAGGCAGCAGUAGGGAAUCUUCCGCAAUGGGCGAAAGCAUGACGGAGCAACGCCGCGUGAGUGAUGAAGGUCUUCGGAUCGUAAAACUCUGUUAUUAGGGAAGAACAAAUGUGUAAGUAACUAUGCACGUCUUGACGGUACCUAAUAAGAAAGCCACGGCUAACUACGUG
rnacentral:rRNA from 1 species